rnacentral:lncRNA from 1 species
CACGCACUCGAAGAGGUUCUGAAUAAAUGGUCCAGAUGCCAGCCCCAGCUAAGCACCCAGCGGACAGCCAGCAUCAGCCAUCAUACGUGUGAGCGAGGAAGCCUUGAAGGUGACUCCAGCCCCAGCCACAUGUGAGUGCAACCCCAGUGAGAACUGUCUCGCUGGCCCCAGUCAACCCCCAAGACUGUGAGAGUGCAUCUCACUUCCGACCAGCCCGAUUUUCAGGCACUCCAACGUCCUCAUGUGAGAUUAGCGGCCAUUGUAAUGGAUGACACAGAUCUAGAAGGCCGUGACACCAAGUUAUCCACGUAAUGGAACUUCAUUGUUGAUGCCUCGUCCAGUCCAUGACACUUCUAGGUUUCAUGCGCCCCGAUUGGAAGCCCUGAUUGGAAGCCCGCGAGGUCCAGUUCUUCAGAUAAUUGAAGCCCUGGGAAUGAAACCAGG